UUAUACAACAUGAAGAAGAUAAUGUUUCAUUCGUUUUUACCACUCAUUCACUUAUGGUAACAAAAUAAGGUUCUUUUCAAUAUCCGCGUGGUGUGUGAUUUUU